rnacentral:lncRNA from 1 species
CCCUGGGCUCCAGCACUCGGGGGCUCUAAGGACAGCAGUAGGAGACUUUCUACAACUCAGAGAGUAUUCAGGAGGGUUUCCCAGGAUGUUGCCCAAUACCAUGGGGCAAUUGGUAGAGGGAGGUCACAUGAAACAGGUUUUAUCAAAGGCUGUCCUCACUGUGUGCAUCAGGAGGAAGCUACAUACCUACAUUUGGAAGAGGAACCAGCCUUAUUGUUCAUCCGU